UGGGGAAUAUUGCGCAAUGGGCGAAAGCCUGACGCAGCGACGCCGCGUGAGGGAUGAAGGUUUUCGGAUCGUAAACCUCAGUCAGAAGGGAAGAAACUACAUUGUGCUAAUCAGCAGUGUACUGACGGUACCUUCAAAGGAAGCACCGGCUAACUCCGUGCCAGCAGCCGCGGUAAUACGGAGGGUGCAAGCGUUAAUCGGAAUUACUGGGCGUAAAGCGCACGUAGGCUGUAGUGUAAGUCAGGGGUGAAAUCCCACGGCUCAACCGUGGAACUGCCUUUGAUACUGCACAACUUGAAUCCGGGAGAGGGUGGCGGAAUUCCUGGUGUAGGAGUGAAAUCCGUAGAUAUCUGGAGGAACAUCAGUGGCGAAGGCGGCCACCUGGACCGGUAUUGACGCUGAGGUGCGAAAGCGUGGGGAGCAAACAG
rnacentral:rRNA from 1 species